UGAUGGUAACCAUGGACCCAGACUCUGUAAU
rnacentral:piRNA from 1 species